GCUCCUAAAGCAACUACUGUGUGUUUAAUGGCUUCACUGAGGUUUUUAGGCCCAGGAACAGCGCUGAACUUCAGUGCGACAUGCCAGAUGUGCAGUUCCCUGCCUGUGUUCUGUGGUAUAAGGAGAAGAUCAGCCAUUUUCCUCUACGCCUUUUAGCUUGAAAUCCUUACGCAACUUAUCAGGAUAAUAAUCAGGCUGAGCCAUGUGUUUAUGCGAAUUAAAGAGAGAACAACACCAGCAACACUUCAACUCUGGCUGCCCAGUGUCGACCAGAGGGGGAUGGGCGGCCCUCCUAGGCAGCUCACACAUGGUGAGAUGGCAGUUCCAGUCACAUCUCCAUUUGGCUUGUGAAAACUUUAUUCUCACCUUCUGUUGGCUGGGAUCAGCAGAGUGACGCUUUACUGAGACCUGACCUGGAUCUUACUGACAAACAAGGCCCAGGUUCCAACCGUGGAGAGACGUGCCAUGUCUCAUCUGUCCUGCCAGUGUUGGAAUACACCAAUGUGAAGACACGGUCUCUGGAGACGGUGCUGCUCAUCCCAUGCAUCGCUUCCCCAGAUCCUCAAAUUUAGGAUACUUUGUUUUUUUGUGGAUUUGUUUAAGAUCAUGGAAAAUAAAGAGCUCUUUAGUGCAA